NUCCCAGUGCAUCCCAGUAUCGGUUUGUACUGGUUCCAGUAUAUCCCAGUGCCUCCCAGUGCUUCCCAGUGCAUCCCAGUACCAGUUUGUACUGGUUCCAGUGCUCCCAGUGCUUCCCAGUGCAUCCCAGUAUCGGUUUGUACUGGUUCCAGUGCUCCCAGUGCAUCCCAGUACAGGUUUAUAUUGGUUCCAGUACAUCCCAGUGCCUCCCAGUGCAUCCCAGUACCGGUUUAUACUGGUUCCAUUGCAUCCCAGUACCUCCCAGUGCAUUCCAGUAUCAGUUUAUACUGGUUCCAGUGCUCCCAGUGCAUCCCAGUGCAUCCCAGUGCAUCCCAGUGCAUCCCAGUAUCGGUUUGUACUGGUUCCAGUACAUCCCAGUGCCUCCCAGUGCAUCCCAGUGCAUCCCAGUAUCAGUUUGUACUGGUUCCAGUGCUCCCAGUGCAUCCCAGUACUUCCCAGUACAUCCCAGUACAGGUUUAUAUUGGUUCCAGUGCCUCCCAGUGCAUCCCAGUAUCGGUUUAUACUGGUUCCAGUACAUCCCAGUGCCUCCCAGUGCUUCCCAGUGCCUCCCAAUAUGGGUUUAUCCUGGGCCCAGUGCCUCCCAGUGCAUCCCAGUGCAUCCCAGUGUGUCCCAAUCCCAUCCCAGUCCCUCCCAGUCCCUCCCAGUCCCCCCAGUCCCUUCCCAGUCCCUCCCAGUUUAUCCCAGUUCCCUCCCAGUCCCUCCCAGUCCAUCCCAGUCCAUCCCGGUCUCUCCCAGUCCAUCCCAGUCCCUUCCCAGUCCCUCCCAGUUUAUCCCAGUUCCCUCCCAGUCCCUCCCAGUUCAUCCCAGUCCAUCCCAAUCCCUUCCCAGUCCCUAGCAGUCCCUUCCCAGUUCCCUCCCAGUCCAUCCCAGUCCAUCCCAGUCCCCUCCCAGUCCAUCCCAGUCCAUCCCAGUCCAUCCCAGUCCCUCCCAGUCCAUCCCAGUCCAUCCCAUUCCCCCCCGGCCUCCGCCACCGCCUCGCGGCGAAUGGGCGUGACCAACCCGAGAGGGGGCGUGGCCUCUCCUCACUAAACCACGCCCCU
rnacentral:lncRNA from 1 species